UACAAUAAGGAAAACAGUGACAUGUGCAAGA
rnacentral:piRNA from 1 species